GAGGAUGUAGACAUAGAUGUGCCAAGAUACCCAUGGAACAAAUAGAUUCAUACAAAUGGGUGUUCUAGACACACGUCAAAAAAUGAAACUUAAAACAUACUUAUGAAAAGUAAUUUUAAAUAAAAAAAAUUAAAUAAUAAUAAUAAUAAUGAAAUCAGUAAUCCUUGCAUCUCAUCAUUAUUUUUGCUUUAGUAUUUGAUUAAAAUAUGAAUUGCAAGUAUUGACCAAUUUUGUGAUAUAGAAAAUACUUUUGGAAAUAUAAUCACUUCAUUUUAUAGGUCACUUUACUCACCAUUGGAUAAGUUGCUAAAUGAUUAAUCAAUUUAUUAAGAAUAACUUUAUGAAUUCUCUAUAUGCUUGAUUGAGAGUUUUUAUCCA
rnacentral:lncRNA from 1 species